rnacentral:rRNA from 1 species
UACGGAGGGUGCGAGCGUUACCCGGAUUUACUGGGCGUAAAGGGCGUGUAGGCGGUUUUCUAAGUCCGGGGCUAAAGACCAGGGCUCAACCCUGGGUUUGCCUUGGAUACUGGAAAGCUCGACGGCUGGAGGGGGCAGCGGAAUUUCCGGAGUAGCGGUGAAAUGCGCAGAUACCGGAAGGAACGCCAAUAGCGAAGGCAGCUGCCUGGACAGUACGUGACGCUGAGGAGCGAAAGCGUGGGGAGCGAACAGG